rnacentral:rRNA from 1 species
UACAGAGGUGGCAAGCGUUGUUCGGAAUUACUGGGCGUAAAGGGCGCGUAGGCGGUCUUGUAAGUCUUGUGUGAAAUCCCUCGGCUUAACUGAGGAACUGCACGGGAUACUGCGAGACUUGAGAUCGGGAGAGGGAAGCGGAAUUCCGGGUGUAGCGGUGAAAUGCGUAGAUAUCCGGAGGAACACCGGUGGCGAAGGCGGCUUCCUGGACCGACACUGACGCUGAGGCGCGAAAGCCAGGGGAGCAAACGGGG